AUUGAACGCUGGCGGAAUGCUUUACACAUGCAAGUCGAGCGGCAGCGCGGGGGCAACCCUGGCGGCGAGCGGCGAACGGGUGAGUAACAUAUCGGAACGUACCCAGUCGUGGGGGAUAACUAUCCGAAAGGAUAGCUAAUACCGCAUACGUCCUGAGGGAGAAAGCGGGGGAUCGCAAGACCUCGCGCGAUUGGAGCGGCCGAUAUCGGAUUAGCUAGUUGGUGGGGUAAAGGCUCACCAAGGCGACGAUCCGUAGCGGGUCUGAGAGGACGACCCGCCACACUGGAACUGAGACACGGUCCAGACUCCUACGGGAGGCAGCAGUGGGGAAUUUUGGACAAUGGGGGCAACCCUGAUCCAGCCAUUCCGCGUGAGUGAAGAAGGCCUUCGGGUUGUAAAGCUCUUUCAGCAGGAACGAAACGGUGGUCCCUAAUACGGACUACUAAUGACGGUACCUGAAGAAGAAGCACCGGCUAACUACGUG
rnacentral:rRNA from 1 species